rnacentral:rRNA from 1 species
GACGAACGCUGGCGACGUGCUUAACACAUGCAAGUCGAACGAAGUGGCGAACGGGUGAGUAACGCGUAAUCAACCUGCCCUUCAGAGGGGAACAACAGUUGGAAACGACUGCUAAUACGGCAUACGGAAGGAGGGGUUUGCGUCUGAUUAGCUCGUUGGAGGGGUAACGGCCCACCAAGGCGAUGAUCAGUAGCCGGGCUGGGAGGAUGAACCGCCAAAUUGGGACUGAGACACGGCCCAGACCCCUACGGGAGGCAGCAGGGGGGAAUUUUCCGAAAUGGACGAAAGUCUGACGGAGCAACGCCGGGGGAGUGAUGACGGCCUUCGGGGUGUAAAGCUCUGUUAAUCGGGACGCGGUACCGGAAUAGAAAGCCACGGCUAACUACGUGCCAGCAGCCGCGGUAAUAC